ensembl:lncRNA
UCUCGGUGGAUUCGGUGUUUACAAAGACAGGAGGGGAAAAGUUUAUAAGGGAACCAACGUCCCACCAGCCUUGAUUAUCUUGUGUGGUCUAAGGUGGCUAGAGAAGCAAUAAACAGACAGCAUGGGAGUGGGAUGGCAAUAACUCUACAUUCUAGAGACUCUCUCUUGCCGGUUUUGAUGAUGCAAGUGGCCAUAUUAGAGAGACCUGCGUAGCAAAACACUGAAAGCAACUUUCCCCAACAGCCAGUGAGGAACAUCAAGCCCACAGACCUUUAGAGACUGAAUCCUGCCAAUAGUCACAUCUUUCCCCAGUCGAUGCUUCAGAUGAUGCUGCAGACCCUGGACCCCCAACUGCAACCUGGGAGAGACAGGAAGAUCAAACAAGUCCAUCCUAAGUGAAAUCAACCCUGAAUAUUCAUUGGAAGGACUGAUGCUGAAGCUGAAGCUCCAAUACUUUGGCCACUUGAUGUCCAGAGCUGACGCAUUGGAAAAGACCCUGAUGCUGGGAAAGAUUGAGAGUAGGAGGAGAAGGGGAUGACAGAGGAUGAGAUGGUUGGAUGGCAUCACCGACUCAAUGGACAUGAGUUUGAGUAAACUCUGGGAUAUAGUGAAGGACAGGGAAGCCUGGUGUGCUGCAGUUCAUGGGGUUACAAAGAGUCGGACACGACUGAGUGACUGAACAAAAAUGACAACAGUAAGAGACAAGAAGCAGAAGACAAGCUGGAUUGUAUCUCCAUUCCUGACUCACAGAAACUGUGAGAUAAUAAAAAUUUUAAGCCACUAAAAGUUGGGGGUAAUUUAUUAUGUGGCAAUAGGUAACGAAUACAGAUUUUGGUCUAGAGUCUAGAAUAAUAUGAACCAAAGUCUCAGUGGGAUUAGUUUUAAAACUCAUAAUUGAGAAUAUAAGUCCCAUGCAGAGUUUUGAAGGAGAAAACCAGACAACUUUUCUUAGGAUAAGAAAGCAUAUCCUUGUCAUGAAGAAAAGAACAUAUAAGGACUCGCAGCAUCCAUCAUUGCAGAGACUAUUCCCUGAGAAAUGUUUGUCUUUAUUUUAUGCACUGCAAAAUGGAGAGUAGCAG